AGCAGCCGCGGUAAUUCCAGCUCCAAUAGCGUAUAUUAAAGUUGUUGCAGUUAAAAAGCUCGUAGUUGAAUUUCGGGAUCAAUUAAUCGGUCGUGCCUCUGGUACGCACUGGUUUUAUUGGUUUCUCCCUUCUGACGAACCAGGAUGUCAUUAAUUUGGUGUCUUGGAGAAUCAGGACUGUUACUUUGAAAAAAUUAGAGUGUUUAAAGCAGGCUAACGCUUGAAUACAUUAGCAUGGAAUAAUGAAAUAGGACGUUUGAUCCUAUUUUGUUGGUUUCUAGGAUCGACGUAAUGAUUAAUAGGGAUAGUUGGGGGCAUUAGUAUUCAAUUGUCAGAGGUGAAAUUCUUGGAUUUAUUGAAGACUAACUACUGCGAAAGCAUUUGCCAAGGAUGUUUUCAUUAAUCAAGAACGAAAGUUAGGGGAUCGAAGACGAUCAGAUACCGUCGUAGUCUUAACCAUAAACUAUGCCGACUAGGGAUCGGAUGAUGUUAAUUUUUUAAUGACUCGUUUGGCACCUUA
rnacentral:misc_RNA from 1 species